rnacentral:lncRNA from 1 species
UCUCCCAUUGAUUUGAGCGCUUCAAAGUUCAAGUGCCCAAAUCUCAUAUGCCAACACCAUGAGUCAUUUUGCACAUUAGACUUCUCACACUUUGCAUCGAUGGUUUUAAGAUUCAAAGGGAACAACCUAUUCUUUGCCAUAUGCACUUUAGCAAUUAAGUUGUUGCUUGAAUCGCUAAGCCAAAGAUGCAUAUUUUUCAUAUGAAUAUCAUAUCCUUUUUCAAGAAGUUUGACCCAAACUCAAAAUAUUACUUUUCAAUUUUGGCACAUAAUAAACAUUGUUAAUCAAUUUAUGGCCACCAUCUUUACAAGAUAUCAAAAUCGUACCUAUCCCUUUAAUUUAGAUCUUUGAGGUAUCUCCAAAAGAUAC